rnacentral:rRNA from 1 species
UACGUAGGGUGCGAGCGUUGUCCGGAAUUACUGGGCGUAAAGAGCGCGCAGGCGGUCGUUCAAGUCGAGUGUGAAAGCCCCCGGCUCAACUGGGGAGGGUCACUCGAUACUGAUCGACUCGAAGGCAGGAGAGGGAAGUGGAAUUCCCGGUGUAGUGGUGAAAUGCGUAGAUAUCGGGAGGAACACCAGUGGCGAAGGCGACUUCCUGGCCUGUUCUUGACGCUGAGGCGCGAAAGCUAGGGGAGCAAACGGG